UGAUUGGCUAUUGAGUCCACCUGCUCAUUCAGGCGCAACGGAACGUUAUUUUGCCCCUAGAAUUAGCCGAGUAGAGGUGUACAACAGUCUUGAAGGAGCGGUGAUUCCAGUCAUAUCCUGCCGAGCAGAAGCUGGUGGCAGAUGUUCCAGUUGUGGUAUUUGAGUUACCAAGAUGAGCGUGUGGAGAGGUGGGGGCUGGGCGAAACAGCAAUGGUGAUGUAUCUAUUUGUGAAGAAAGCAACAUUGGUGGAGGGGAACCAACGCCACACUGCAGAGUAAUGGAAGAGGCUGUGACCUGCAGAACCGACUACGGAAGGCGCACGAGGUACACCAUUGAUGAAGAAUGAAAAGGGAUGGAGCCCGAGGACAGAGAACUGCACCCAUGAGGUCGACCCACAUUGCUAGUUCCAGCGGGCAGCCGACGCGUUCGCCCUUCUGGGUUGUGGUUUCCGCGCGGUGUUUGCGGUGCUCGGGCGGAACCCCCAAAUUGAUAAGCCUGCAGAUAGCUAAUAAAUAAUCGGAUGAAUUGUAAUUAGUGUAAAUAAAUUAAUGCAAGUUUAAUUGACUACAUAUGGAUGUAGUUAUGAAUUGUAAUUAAAAUGUAGUUUUUAAAUAUAAGGAAUAAUCAUAAUAAUGAUUGUUAUGCACUAGUGAAUAAGUCAUUAUCAUUGCUGUUAAUGAGCAAAUACUGUUACUGAAUAAAAUAGGUAAUAAAUAUAGUAAAUAAUAAAAAAAAAAAUUAGUUAUUAAUAAUAAAAUAUGAUUUAGCAUUAUCCAAAAAAUAAGUCGGCAAUCUGAGCAGGUUUUGUUCAAGCUCAGAAAAUGAAAAUAGAAGUAGUGUUAGCGUUGAACGUUG
rnacentral:lncRNA from 1 species